CACGUAGGCACCAAGCGUUGUCCGGAUUUAUUGGGCGUAAAGAGCUCGUAGGCGGUUCAGUAAGUCAGGUGUGAAAUCUUUGGGCUUAACCCAAAGCGUGCACUUGAUACUGCUGUGACUUGAGUUCGGUAGGGGAGUGGGGAAUUCCUAGUGUAGCGGUGAAAUGCGUAGAGAUGCGGAGGAACACCAGUGGCGAAAGCGGCUUUCUGGUCCUUAACUGACGCUGAGGCGCGAAAGCAUGGGGAGCGAACGGG
rnacentral:rRNA from 1 species